AUUGAACGCUGGCGGCAGGCUUAACACAUGCAAGUCGAGCGGGGACUUCGGUCCUAGCGGCGAACGGGUGAGGAAUGCUUGGGAAUCUGCCCAGUAGCGGGGGAUAACGUUUCGAAAGGAACGCUAAUACCGCAUACGCCCUACGGGGGAAAGGGGGAGAUCUUCGGACCUCUCACUAUUGGAUGAGCCCAAGUCGGAUUAGCUAGUUGGUGGGGUAAAGGCCUACCAAGGCGACGAUCCGUAGCUGGUCUGAGAGGAUGAUCAGCCACACUGGAACUGAGACACGGUCCAGACUCCUACGGGAGGCAGCAGUGGGGAAUAUUGGACAAUGGGCGAAAGCCUGAUCCAGCCAUGCCGCGUGUGUGAAGAAGGCCUUCGGGUUGUAAAGCACUUUAAGCGAGGAGGAAUGGCUCUUGGUUAAUAACCUUGAGCAGUGACGUUACUCGCAGAAUAAGCACCGGCUAACUCCGUGCCAGCAGCCGCCGUAAUAC
rnacentral:rRNA from 1 species